AGUGCACCGGUGGGGUCCCUCGGCCUGGCCUGUGACCUCUCGCAAUGCAGGACCCCUAGGGGCAUGUCAGAGAGCCAGUUUCAGCCCGAUCCUUGCAGGCCAGGCCGAGGGACCCCACCAGUGCACA
rnacentral:pre_miRNA from 1 species